GAUACUCAAUUUAAAGUGAGUAAACAGAAUUCCAUACUCGAUCUCAUAGAUCCUUAUAGAAUUUUGUUGAAAGCCGUAUUCGAUUAAAGUCGUAUGUAU
rnacentral:rRNA from 1 species